CUGCGGGCUUGCUGUUGAUGAGCUCCCUGCUUGCCUUUAGUGCUAGGAGUUGUUGUUCGGAAGGAGCGCAUCAUUUCCUUCUUCUCCUUUUUUUGUUUAGAGGACAAGCCUUUACAGGGUAAAACAGAUUCAAAAAAGCUUUGUAGUCCUAUAAUUUGCACCGACAGUAUGCAGGUGAGCAGAUUUGGGGGAAUUCUGCCCUUCAUUUACUCGUUCCGCAACUAAAGCAGCGCAGCAAACAAGCUGAUCAGCUCAGUGUCAUCCCCAGAGCCAUCAAUGGGUACCCAUGCUUUCCACCAACCAGUGGACGGACUCGCGCGGACGAAUCUUGCUGGUAUUCCCAGACAGACUGAUGUUCUCCUCCUCUUCAUCCAGAGGCUAACAUCUUUUCUUUCCAGCUGAUCAGCUCAGUGUCAUCCCCAGAGCCAUCAAUGGGUACCCACGCUUUCCACCAACCAGUGGACGGACUCGCGCGGACAAAUCUUGCUGGUAUUCCCAGACAGACUGAUGUUCUCCUCCUCUUCAUCCAGCGGCUAACAUCUUUUCUUUCCAGCUGGUCAGCGCACUGUCAUCCCCAGAGCCAUGAAUGAGUACCCAUUCUUUCUACCAACCAGUGGACGGACUCACGCGGACAAAUCUUGCUGGGUAUUCCCAGAUAGGCUGAUGUUCUGCUAAUCCUCAUCCUGCCGCUAACAUUUCUUCUUUCAAGGUACUGAUAAUAGGGGGAAACCCAAUGGGUAUGGGUAUAGAGAGAGAGAUAUGGAGAUAGGAGAUAGAGAGAAACAUGUACAGAUAGGGACAGAGAAAUAUAGGGAAAGAAGGCAAGAGAGCCAGAGAGAGGGAGAGAGAAGAGAGAGGACGAAGUAGUGGUAGAGAUCGAGAUAGAGAGAUCGAGAUAGACAGAGACAGAGGGAUAGAGCUAGAUAGAGAGACAGAGGGAUAGAGCUAGAUAGAGAGAGAUAGAGAUAUAGAUAG